GAUGAACGCUGGCGGCGUGCCUAAUACAUGCAAGUCGAGCGAACAGACGAGGAGCUUGCUCCUCUGACGUUAGCGGCGGACAGGGGAGUAACACGUGGAUAACCUACCUAUAAGACUGGGAUAACUUCGGGAAACCGGAGCUAAUACCGGAUAAUAUAUUGAACCGCAUGGUUCAAUAGUGAAAGACGGUUUUGCUGUCACUUAUAGAUGGAUCCGCGCCGCAUUAGCUAGUUGGUAAGGUAACGGCUUGCCAAGGCAACGAUUCGUAGCCGACCUGAGAGGGUGAUCGGCCACACUGGAACUGAGACACGGUCCAGACUCCUACGGGAGGCAGCAGUAGGGAAUCUUCCGCAAUGGGCGAAAGCCUGACGGAGCAACGCCGCGUGAGUGAUGAAGGUCUUCGGAUCGUAAAACUCUGUUAUUAGGGAAGAACAAAUGUGUAAGUAACUAUGCACGUCUUGACGGUACCUAAUCAGAAAGCCACGGCUAACUACGUG
rnacentral:rRNA from 1 species